rnacentral:rRNA from 1 species
GUGGGGUAAUUUUCCGCAAUGGGCGAAAGCCUGACGGAGCAAUGCCGCGUGGAGGUGGAAGGCCGUACGGGUCGUCAACUUCUUUUCUCGGAGAAGAAACAAUGACGGUAUCUGAGGAAUAAGCAUCGGCUAACUCUGUGCCAC